ACAAUAUAUUAGCUCUAAGUGAGAAAAACUUAUAUGAUCUGUAAAUACAAGCUACAUUACCAUUCACAAACAAACAUGAUAGUAACAGAAAUAUUACAUCUUACGAAAUCCAGAAGUUGUGUAAAUAAUAUUUCUAGCACAAACGCAUCCUUCAUAAUUCAAUUACCACAACACAAAAUAGCUAACAAGACAAAUGUUUUGACAGUUUAAGUUCUUCACACAUACGUAAUUCUCGCAGAGAGGAGUCUGAUGAUAUCUUCAAGAUUAUGCCCACAAGUCGUAGCAAUUUGACGAACCAACAAGAUGGCGUCCAGAGGACUAGAGGCAGCACUCCUCCAAAAGACAGCAACAACAAAGAGUAGCCAAACAUCCCCUUAGAAAUGAAGAACAUCCAUCGUCAUUACGAUAAUAGCCACCACCAUCAUGGUACAUAUGCUGAGGUGGUGGUGGUGGAGGAUAUUGAUCAUUAAAAUACCCCUGAUAACCCUGAGGUCCAGGAGGUGGUGGUGGAGGAGGAUACCCUCCGUUAUAAAACCCCGGUGGCGGUGGCAUCCCCUGCCCUGGGUAUCCUUGUGGUUGCGGUGGCGGUGGUGGUCCAUACCCUGGUGGAGGGUAGUCAGGGUAAGAACCUUCAUGAACAUGUUGAUAACUCAUUGUGAUGGUGUGAUUUGAGUGGGAAAAAAAUGAAUAAGAGGUACAGGUAGAUGAGUUAUUAAAUAAAGGGGUGUUAAACUUAGGUGUUAAGGUACAGGGGCAGGUGUGAAGAUGAAAUGAAAGAAAAUUAAAUUUUAGAAAGAGGAUAUAAUUAUGAUAGUCAUUCACAUGUUAGCAAACAGAGAAU
rnacentral:misc_RNA from 1 species